UGACAGAUAUCUUGACUUGGGUUUUACUGCAACUCUGGAGAGACUGAAGUACAAGACAGUUAAAACUGGAGCAAAGAGGCAACUGAGGUAGCCUCAGGAAAACACAUAACUAGAACUUUGAUGAAAUGGGGGGUUCACUUUCUUUUCCCUUCCAGGAAAGUAUUUUGUCAGAAAGGAAACAAAUUGAUGAAGAUGAUGCUAAAAGAUGAAUUCUUAGUACAGUCGAACUGAAACAAAAAGAGAAGAGCUCAGCAGCAGCUUCUGCCACAAGAAGCAGAAACCCUUGUUCUCUUUUCCUCCAAAAAGCAGCCGUCAUGGAGUCCAUCAGUCGAAGUCCCAGGAGGUCAUUGGCAAAUGGAAAAAUUGGAGGUUGAUGAGGCUAAUCCUGGAGGCAAACACCAGGCUGGCCUGCUGGUGCCCCUAAGGAGACCAAUGAAGAAUAGCAAUCAGGGGUCUUUAGAGAAGACCCAAGGAGACCUUCUCUCUCAAGGGUGUCUGGGACUAUUCCAGUUAUAAAAUGGAAGACUGUUUUCUGGAAUGUUCAUCUGCUCCAGGCAUCAUGAAAACAACUUGUAGAAAGGAGUUGGAUUACCUUCUUGACGGUUAUGAUGCCUACUUGGAAAUUGGGAUCUGUGUUGAUGUCAAAAACAUCAGCACCAUCGCCAUCCAAGAUAGUGUAUUUCAUCUCUGCGUUUAUUCCUUCAUCCAAGUCCUCGGCAAACAGUCUCCCCACAGUGGAGCUAACUGGAGCUGACUCCAACACACUCAUCUGAUAAAGUCCUGUGGAGAAAAUCAAGAACAUGCAUCCUUGGUCAUCUGUCACUAUGCCCACUUUUGCUUCAUUUGUCAGACCAGUGUACUGAGAACCCAUCUUUAUGGGUUCCAGCCCUCCCAGAGAAAACGGCACCCAGCAAUCCAGAGGAGGAAAAGUGACAGGCACAAGUGCCACCAGGCCCUUGU